AGAGGAAUUUUCUUGCUGCUUCACUGUUUAAAAAAAUUAACUGAAAUUUAUCUUCAAUUAUUUUACCACUUACCAUACUUUCUACAUAUUUUAUGUCUAUCCAUUUAUUUAUUUAUUGCUGAGGAAGAUUCACCCUGAGCUAACAUCUGUGCCAAUCUUCCUCUAUUUUGUAUGUGGGUUGCUGCCAUAGCAUGGCCACUGAUGAGUGGUAUAGGUCCACGCCCAGGAACCAAACCCAGGCUGCUGAAGUGGAGUGUGCUGAACUUAACCACUAGGCCACAGGGCCAGCCACUUUAUGUCUAUUCCUUUAAAUAGGGAAGAUGUAGUACCUGGCUGGGUAAGGAAACACACCUGUCGCUAGUCAGAGCCCCAGUAAACAAAUAGUAGAUGGAAAAGCCAGAAAGAAUUGAGGCUUUGGAACAAGGCAGACCUAGUUUAUGGAAACUCUGCCCCUUGUACCUUGGUGACCGUGCUGAAUGUUAUUAACCUUUCUGAGCAUCAGUCUCCUCAUCUAUAAAAUGAGCAAAAACAGAAUACUUAUCCAUGGAGUGAUUCUAAGGAUCAACUGAAAAAAAGAUAUACUUUGAAAAUCUGGCAUUGUGUUGUUGCUUGACAAAUGUCAAUUCUCUUCUUUUGCAUGCUUUUUUUGGAUCCAGUGGCUGCCCAGAGGUCCCAAGACCAGACCCAAGAAAUGGCUCUCAGAGAAACCCUGACAGAUCCACACUCAACUCUACCUGAGCCGCAAGCUAAAACUUACCUCCAAGAGGUCAGAAAGCCCUGGGAAUUUAGAGAUUCAUACUCAUUUCUCUGAGGCAUACAAAGGAAGCUUUCAAAGAACUUAGUAUCUGAUUGGGGGAAAACAAAACUGAUCUAGAGGUAGGUGAACAGAUUCUUAAUUAAAAAUCUCUUUCAUAUUUUCUUUUAUCUCCUGAACUGUGUUGUCCACAGUGAUAGUGCUUGGAAGAUAAUCAUUAAGUUGAUUUAUAUUAUCUGUCCUACAGUUGGUGUCAUUGCAGAAAAAUUUUUCUGUGCUUAGAAACCAGAAUUACAGAAAGGCAUACAAAUGCACAGAUGGGUGAGCAACUAUUAGAGAAGGAAGACUUCGGGGAGUCAUAAAAAAAGGAUUAAUUCUGAAUAGAAAAAGGAAAUUACCCUAAAGGGUAAGUAUAAAAGCAGCAUGAGUGUUCCUUAUAUGAAAUGACAACAUUUUAUAAAAGAAUUUAGGAAGCAAUAAAAUCCAUCCUUACAUUUUAUUAUUUUACA
rnacentral:lncRNA from 1 species